rnacentral:misc_RNA from 1 species
GUGUGUAUUGUUUGAGAUUGGUUUGUAGAGUGCCUGGGCUGGAAUAACUGAAACUUUGAAUGCUCUUAACAGUUGGGAUGGAAAUAAUGAUGGAUGGGUCCUUGCACAGACUAUAUUUGUGUAAACUUACGAAUGAUUUGGAGUCCUUUUCCAUCUGAUUACAUGUCAUGCAUUAUUAUUCCUAGAGGAAGAAAUAUUUAUAGCCCUUUGGGUGAGUGUUUGGUAUACCUAACUCAUAAACCAACUGUAAUUUUCAUGCAACCUUGAAGCUCGUUAAUGAUAUGCUUUGAAGUGUAAGAACAGCGAUGCAUUUCAUUCAGGUCAGGAACUUGCUUGGCGGUUAUAAACUUUGAAUUUGUUCAUUGACUCUUUUUGUGUCGUCUUGUUUCUAGGUUCUAUUUUUCAGUUUAGAAGGGCAUGAUAGAUUAUUCUAUUUGAAGUUUCAUGCUUGUUUGACCGUUUUGUAUGAUUUUUUGUUAGUAAAG